AACGAACGCUGGCGGCAGGCCUAACACAUGCAAGUCGAACGCCCGUAGCAAUACGGGAGUGGCAGACGGGUGAGUAACGCGUGGGAACGUGCCCUUCGGUUCGGAAUAACUCAGGGAAACUUGAGCUAAUACCGGAUACGUCCGUAAGGAGAAAGAUUUAUCGCCGAAGGAUCGGCCCGCGUCGGAUUAGCUAGUUGGUGAGGUAACGGCCCACCAAGGCGACGAUCCGUAGCUGGUCUGAGAGGAUGAUCAGCCACACUGGGACUGAGACACGGCCCAGACUCCUACGGGAGGCAGCAGUGGGGAAUAUUGGACAAUGGGCGAAAGCCUGAUCCAGCCAUGCCGCGUGAGUGAAGAAGGCCUUAGGGUUGUAAAGCUCUUUCAGCGGGAAGAUAAUGACGGUACCCGCAGAAGAAGCCCCGGCUAACUUCGCGCCAGCCGCCGCGGUAAC
rnacentral:rRNA from 1 species